AUCAUUUUGUAGUUGAGAAGCAAGAUAGUUGAGUGUUCACAUGCAUGUGUGAGAUGUGCCACCCUUGAACAAUGUCAGGACAUCAGUACAUUACCCAUCUGAUA